CCCCGAAAUCUGGAAUAACCGGCCGAAAGGCUGGCUAAUACUGGAUAGAGCGAUGGAAUCCGUAAUUGGGUUUUUCGGGAAAGGGAGGCAGCAAUGCCCUUCGUUUCGGGAUGAGCCUGCGUCUCAUUAGCUAGUUGGUGAGGUAAUGGCUCACCAAGGCAUUGAUGAGUAGCUGGUCUGAGAGGAUGAUCAGCCACACUGGAACUGAAACACGGUCCAG
rnacentral:rRNA from 1 species